GACGAACGCUGGCGGCGUGCUUAACACAUGCAAGUCGAACGGAAAGGCCCUGCUUUUUUGGGGUGCUCGAGUGGCGAACGGGUGAGUAACACGUGAGUAACCUGCCCUUGACUUUGGGAUAACUUCAGGAAACUGGGGCUAAUACCGGAUAGGAGCUCCCGCUGCAUGGUGGGGGUUGGAAAGUUUCGGCGGUUGGGGAUGGACGCGCGGCUCAUCAGCUUGUUGGUGGGGUAGUGGCUUACCAAGGCUUUGACGGGUAGCCGGCCUGAGAGGGUGACCGGCCACAUUAGGACUGAGAUACGGCCCAGACUCGUACGGGAGGCAACAGUGGGGAAUAUUACACAGUGGGCGGAAGCCUGAUGCGGCAACGCCGCGUGCGGGAUGACGGCCUUCGGGUUGUAAACCGCUUUCGCCUGUGACGAAGCGUGAGUGACGGUAAUGGGUGAAGAAGCACCGGCUAACUACGUG
rnacentral:rRNA from 1 species